AUUUAAAUAGCUUAAAUAAAGUAUAAUAUUGAAAAUAUUAAGAUAAUUAAAAUUUUUAAAUA
rnacentral:tRNA from 1 species